rnacentral:rRNA from 1 species
UACGAAGGGGGCUAGCGUUGUUCGGAUUUACUGGGCGUAAAGCGCACGUAGGCGGAUCGUUAAGUCGGGGGUGAAAUCCUGGAGCUCAACUCCAGAACUGCCUUCGAUACUGGCGAUCUUGAGUCCGGAAGAGGUGAGUGGAACUCCUAGUGUAGAGGUGGAAUUCGUAGAUAUUAGGAAGAACACCAGUGGCGAAGGCGGCUCACUGGUCCGGUACUGACGCUGGAGGUGCGAAAGCGUGGGGAGCAAACAGG